UAAAUCAUGGGUUUAUGGGUUAGCUCGUGUCAGGUCCAUUUAACUGGAUUAGACCUAGGGUUAGAAAUUAUUAACAAUGAACUAUAUUAGUAAUUGAUCAAAUUUAAUUAACAGUUAAUUCUGAUUGGGUCAAUUCUUCUCUUGAUCAAUUCUCAAUAGUUAUAGUUAGUCAGAGUCCAUAUUUUUGAUUAGAUCAAGAUAGACC
rnacentral:lncRNA from 1 species